rnacentral:rRNA from 1 species
CGCCUCUUGCCUCACAUAAGAGGUCCAGCCUGCCCAGUGAAAUUUUAACGGCCGCGGUACCCUGACCGUGCGAAGGUAGCAUAAUCACUCGUUCUCUAAAUGGGGACUUGUAUCAAUGGCAUCACGAGGGUCACACUGUCUCCUCUCUCCAAUCAGUGAACCUAAUCUCCCCGUGAAGAAGCGGGGUUACACCCAUAAGACGAGAAGACCCCAUGGAGCUUUAAACCUUAAAGCAAUUUAAAUAAAAUAUUUCCACAUAUACUUUAUAUAUGCAUGAAAGUUUUGGGUUGGGGUGACCGCGGAGCAAAAACUAACCUCCACAACGAAAAGAACUAAACCUUUAUCUAAGAACUACUAUUCUAAGAAUCAACAUACUGACGAAUACUGAUCCGAUAAUCGAUCAAUGAACCAAGUUACCCUGGGGAUAACAGCGCAAUCUACUUCGAGAGCUCAUAUCGACAAGUAGGCUUACGACCUCGAUGUUGGAUCAGGGUAUCCCAGUGGUGCAGCCGCUACUAAUGGUUCGUUUGUUCAACGAUUAAAACC